CUACGGGGGGCUGCAGUGGGGAAUAUUGCACAAUGGGGGGAACCCUGAUGCAGCAACGCCGCGUGGAGGAUGACGCAUUUCGGUGUGUAAACUCCUUUUAUAUGUCAAGAAAAUGACGGUAGCAUAUGAAUAAGCACCGGCUAACUCCGUGCCAGCAGCCGCGGUAAUACGGAGGGUGCAAGCGUUACUCGGAAUCGCUGGGCGUAAAGGACGCGUAGGCGGGUUGGAAAGUCAGGUGUGAAAUCCUACAGCUUAACUGUAGAACUGCACUUGAAACUUCUAAUCUAGAGUAUGGGAGGGGGAGAUGGAAUUAGUGGUGUAGGGGUAAAAUCCGUAGAUAUCACUAGGAAUACCUAAAGCGAAGGCGAUCUCCUGGAACAUUACUGACGCUAAGGCGUGAAAGCGUGGGGAGCAAACAGGAUUAGAUACCCCCGUAGUC
rnacentral:rRNA from 1 species